rnacentral:rRNA from 1 species
GGCGUGCCUAAUACAUGCAAGUCGAGCGGUAAGGCCCUUCGGGUACACGAGCGGCGGACGGCUGAGUAACGCGUGGGAACAUGCCCCAAAGUGAGGGAUAACGCACCGAAAGGUGUGCUAAUACCGCAUAUGGUCUUCGGAUUAAAGGAUUUAUCCGCUUUGGGAGUGGCCCGCGUACGAUUAGAUUGUUGGUGAGGUAACGGCUCACCAAGUCGACGAUCGUUAACUGGUCUGAGAGGAUGAUCAGUCAGACUGGAACUGAGACACGGUCCAGACUCCUACGGGAGGCAGCAGUAAGGAAUCUUCCACAAUGGGCGAAAGCCUGAUGGAGCAACGCCGCGUGCAGGAUGAAGGCCCUCGGGUCGUAAACUGCUUUUAUGAGUGAAGAAUAUGACGGUAACUCAUGAAUAAGCACCGGCGUAACUACGUGCCAGCAG